CCGACGGUGAGGGAUGAAAGCUGGGAGAGCAAACCGGAUUAGAUACCCGGGUAGUCCCAGCUGUAAACGAUGCGCGUUAGGUGUGUCAGUGACCACGUGUCACUGAUGUGCCGAAGGGAAACCGUGAAACGCGCCGCCUGGGGAGUACGGUCGCAAGGCUGAAACAUAAAGGAAUUGGCGGGGGAGCACCACAACGGGUGGAGCCUGCGGUUUAAUCGGACUCAACGCCGGAAAUCUCACCGGAUAA
rnacentral:rRNA from 1 species